rnacentral:lncRNA from 1 species
UUCAUCACGUUAUAUGAAAAAAACAACAAUUAUAGUUUUUUCAUAUUGUAAACUGUCUUUGUUUAACAUGAGUUAGGGUUCUUUUCAUCAUUGUCUUAGACAAGUCUGAGUUACAGAGUUGCGAUGUGUGUCUGUUCGUAAUCUAUUUUUUCACCGGUGAGCUCUUCAUCUCUCCAUCUUAAAUCGCUUGAUCUUAAAUAUUCCUGAUUUGUAGCCUUUAUGUAAACCCUAUAUUUAUGAUUCUCAUCUUUGAUGAACCCAAUCUGCAUCUCCACAAAACUC